ACGACGCUGGCGGCGUGCCUAAUACAUGCAAGUCGAACGGUCUUUCUAUGGAAGCUUGCUUCCACUGAGAAGAUAGUGGCGAACGGGUGAGUAACACGUGGGUAACCUGCCCAUAAGAGGGGGAUAACAUCCGGAAACGGGUGCUAAUACCGCAUAGUUUUCUUGAUUGCAUGAUUGAGAAAGGAAAGACGGCCUUUGUGCUGUCGCUUAUGGAUGGACCCGCGGCGUAUUAGUUAGUUGGUGAGGUAACGGCUCACCAAGACGAUGAUACGUAGCCGACCUGAGAGGGUGAUCGGCCACAUUGGGACUGAGACACGGCCCAAACUCCUACGGGAGGCAGCAGUAGGGAAUCUUCCGCAAUGGACGAAAGUCUGACGGAGCAACGCCGCGUGAGUGAAGAAAGGUUUUCGGAUCGUAAAACUCUGUUGUCAGAGAAGAACAAGUUGGAGAGUAACUGCUCCAGCCUUGACGGUAUCUGACCAGAAAGCCACGGCUAACUACGUGCCAGCAGCGGC
rnacentral:rRNA from 1 species